GCCGAUGUAGCUCAGUGGUAGAGCACACCCUUGGUAAGGGUGAGGUCACGAGUUCGAAUCUCGUCAUCGGCU
rnacentral:tRNA from 6 species